rnacentral:rRNA from 1 species
AUACGUAGGUGGCAAGCGUUGUCCGGAAUUAUUGGGCGUAAAGCGCAUGUAGGCGGUGCCUUAAGUCUGUCGUGAAACUGCGGGGCCUAACCCCGUAUGGCGAUGGAAACUGUGGCACUUGAGUGCAGGAGAGGAAAGGGGAACUCCCAGUGUAGCGGUGAAAUGCGUAGAUAUUGGGAAGAACACCGGUGGCGAAGGCGCCUUUCUGGACUGUGUCUGACGCUGAGAUGCGAAAGCCAGGGUAGCGAACGGGAUUAGAUACCCCGGUAGUCCGGGCCGUAAACGAUGGGUACUAGGUGUGGGAGGUAUCGACCCCUUCCGUGCCGGAGUUAACGCAAUAAGUACCCCGCCUGGGGAGUACGGCCGCAAGGCUUAAACUCAAAUGAAUUGGCGGGG